CCCACCGGGCCGACGGCACUCCACUUUAUGUCCCGGCCCGGCAAAUGAAAAGGAGGAAUACCCGCCCUGACCGGCGGUGCGGCAGUGUGGAGACCUGCCGUAACGUGCGCGAAGCCGCACAAGGCUGUUCCAUGCGGAGGCAGGACAGCCACGGUCAAAACGAAAUGGCA
ncrna:unclassified sequences malK-I RNA